rnacentral:rRNA from 1 species
GUAACACGUGGGANUAUACCUUUUGGUUCGGAACAACUGAGGGAAACUUCAGCUAAUACCGAAUGUGUCCUUGCGGAGAAAGAUUUAUCGCCAAAGGAUUAGCCCGCGUUCGAUUAGCUAGUUGGUAGGGUAACGGCCUACCAAGGCGACGAUCGAUAGCUGUUCUGGGAGGAAGAUCAGCCACACUGGGACUGAGACACGGCCCAGACUCCUACGGGAGGCAGCAGUUGGGAAUCUUGGACAAUGGGGGAAACCCUGAUCCAGCCAUGCCGCGUGAGUGAUGAAGGCCUUCGGGUUGUAAAACUCUUUCGACGGGGACGAUAAUGACGGUACCCGUAGAAGAAGCUCCGGCUAACUUCGUGCCAGCAGCCGCGGUAAUACGAAGGGGGCUAGCGUUGUUCGGAAUUACUGGGCGUAAAGCGCGCGCAGGCGGUUUUCCAAGUCAGUGGUGAAAGCCCGGAGCUCAACUCAGGAACUGCCAUUGAAACUGUUAAACUUGAGGACGAGAGAGGUGAGUGGAAUUCCCAGUGUAGAGGUGAAAUUCGUAGAUAUUGGGAAGAACACCGGUGGCGAAGGCGGCUCACUGGCUCGUUUCUGACGCUCAGGCGCGACAGCGUGGGGAUCAAACAGGAUUAGAUACCCUGGUAGUCCACGCCGUAAACGAUGAUUGCUAGCCGUUGGGCAGCUUGCUGUUCAGUGGCGCAGCUAACGCAUUAAGCA